CUUUAUGGAAGGUAAAUUCCAUUUUUAGUAAGGUCAAAUUAGAUGUUUAAUGCUUAAACUGGGACUUUUUAGACAACAAAAAAAUAUAUAUAGAACUUCGGCCAUCACGGUAGGCGAAUUGAAAAUAAAUGGAGAGUAAUAUUAGAACUGCAUAAUUGGGUUGACAAUUUAUGCAGGCGCUUGGAAGCAAGGAAAAAGAAAAACAAGAAAGCCAAAGAAGAGAAUGUAGACUUUCAGGGCCAUGAAAAAAUAAAAUUUGGAGAUAUUGUUGAAGCACCACCUAAGUUAGUUGCAUUUCCCAAGGGUUUGAAGACUGUUCAGGAUGCUUCACGAGAAAGGCUCCGUUUACAGGCAGUUGAUGCCUACAGGAAUCGGAAGGGAUGGAUUUCAAGGCCUGGAUUUCAGCUUCCUCUGUCUAUGAAUGUGCCACCAUCAUUAUAGUCGACCAAACAGAGAAAAGAUACCUUUCACCCGUGUGGCAUAUGAGCAAGCUCUACGUAUAUUCACACGAUUCUGAGGCAUCUGAAAUCUCUAAUUGGUGUCCAGCUUUAUAGCAAUGAAUGCGAGCAACCUAUUUAUGUUACCGACUCGAAUUAUUUACACCUAUCAUCAUCAUGGCACAAGGUGUAUACUUUUUAAUACUUGUGCAAAUGGAAUGGUAUCCCAGACCCUGUAACCCAGUUCAAUUCUCAAUGUUAUUUAAUCCAGCCAUAGUUUGUUGCUGCACGAGUUUUGUGUGCCUAUCUUAUCUUAUUAGCAAAAUUGUAUUACUUUUCUUAAUAAGGCAUAUUGUUGGUGACACUAGACACAAUUAUCAAAAUGCAGCUGUUAUUUUUUAUCGUAA